rnacentral:rRNA from 1 species
UGGGGAAUUUUGGACAAUGGGCGCAAGCCUGAUCCAGCAAUGCCGCGUGCAGGAUGAAGGCCUUCGGGUUGUAAACUGCUUUUGUACGGAGCGAAAAGGUCUGCCCUAAUACGGUGGGCUCAUGACGGUACCGUAAGAAUAAGCACCGGCUAACUACGUGCCAGCAGCCGCGGUAAUACGUAGGGUGGGAGCGUUAAUCGGAAUUACUGGGCGUAAAGCGUGCGCAGGCGGUUAUAUAAGACAGAAGUGAAAUCCCCGGGCUCAACCUGGGACCUGCAUUUGUGACUGUAUAGCUAGAGUACGGUAGAGGGAGAUGGAAUUCAGCGUGUAGCAGUGAAAUGCGUAGAUAUGCGGAGGAACACCGAUGGCGAAGGCAAUCCCCUGGACCUGUACUGACGCUCAUGCACGAAAGCGUGGGGAGCAAACA